rnacentral:rRNA from 1 species
UCGUGCUAAGGUAGCGUAAUCACUUGCUUUUUAAUUGGAAGCUGGCAUGAAAGGGUUAACUGGUUACGGUGUUUGUAAGGGGGAGCUAAGAUUAAAGUCUGGGUAAUAAUUCUCAGAUCUGCUAAGGGACGAUAAGACCCUGGAAGCUUAAGGCUGUAGUAAGAGGUUGUUCAGGUAAGAGUUAAGCAGUUGGCUGGGGCAGCCGGAGUAGAUAGGCUACUUGGGAAUUUUAUGAUCCUUUAAAUAAAGACAGAUAGAGGUAGUUACAUCAGGGAUAACAGCGUGAUUGUUUUAGAGAGACCACAUCGAUAAAGCAGAUUGCGACCUCGAUGUUGAAUUAAAGGAGCAACGGGGCGCAAAAGCUCCGUAGGAGGGUUUGUUCAACCAUUAAAAUUUUACAUGAUCUGAGUUCAAACCGGA